UACGUAGGGGGCGAGCGUUGUCCGGAUUUAUUGGGCGUAAAGAGCGUGUAGGCGGCCAGGUAGGUCUGCUGUGAAAACUCGAGGCUCAACCUCGAGACGUCGGCGGAAACCAUCUGGCUAGAGUCCGGAAGAGGAGAGUGGAAUUCCUGGUGUAGCGGUGAAAUGCGCGGAUAUCAGGAAGAACACCCGUGGCGAAGGCGGCUCUCUGGGACGGUACUGACGCUGAGGUGCGAAAGCGUGGGGAGCAAACAGG
rnacentral:rRNA from 1 species